GCAAAAAUUAACUCUCCGUUAAUCUUAACACGGUUUAAUCAAUUCAUAUCCGGUUUGGCCGGAUUUUGACUGAAGUGGUUUUACCACUUUGUCUGACACCUCCCUGUUAAAACUCCUAGAGUCGCUUAUGCGGCUCUUUUUUU
rnacentral:sRNA from 1 species